GGGUCAGUAGGUUGGUCGUGCCACCGGUACGUACUGGUCUCACUGAUUCCCCCUUCCUGAAGAACCGUAAUGCCAUUAAUUUGGUGUUGCGGGGGAAACAGGACUGUUACUUUGAAAAAAUUAGAGUGUUUAAAGCAAGCUAACGCUUGAAUACAUUAGCAUGGAAUAAUGAAAUAGGACGAUCGAUCCUAUUUUGUUGGUUUCUAGGAUUGACGUA
rnacentral:rRNA from 1 species